UAGCGGCGGACGGGUGAGUAACGCGUGAGAAACCUGCCUUUCACAAAGGAAUAGCCUCGGGAAACUGGGAUUAAUACCUUAUGAAACUUUUAAAUCCCAUGAUUUAAAAGUUAAAGCGUAAAGCGGUGAAAGAUGGUCUCGCGUCCCAUUAGUUAGUUGGUGAGGUAGAGGCUCACCAAGACAUCGAUGGGUAGCCGGCCUGAGAGGGUGAACGGCCACACUGGAACUGAGACACGGUCCAGACUCCUACGGGAGGCAGCAGUGGGGAAUAUUGCACAAUGGAGGAAACUCUGAUGCAGCGACGCCGCGUGAACGACGAAGGCCUUCGGGUCGUAAAGUUCUGUCCUUGGGGACGAUAAUGACGGUACCCAAGGAGGAAGCCCCGGCUAACUACGUGCCAGCAGCCGCGGUAAUACGUAGGGGGCGAGCGUUGUCCGGAAUUAUUGGGCGUAAAGGGUUCGCAGGCGGUCUUUUAAGUCAGAUGUUAAAUGCAUAGGCUCAACC
rnacentral:rRNA from 1 species